UUGGUUUGAGUGCCUGAGCAAAGCCACUGGGGAUGUUCCCCAAGGACUCUAUGAGUGCUCAGCUCAUGGGGCUAUCAUGGUCA
ensembl:miRNA